UCGAACAGAAAGUCUUUCUACACUGUCAUGAUCAUAUCUUCUUGCUGCUCGUCUAAUUCCCAUGCUAUAGACAAAAGAUGUAUACAAAUCAAUUACAGUUUCUUCUGAAGAUGAUUAAAACACCAAUUCGAUUCCUUCGAAUUAUAUCCAAACUUUGAACAGAUUUCAAAUCAGGUAAAAUCCACAAGCUUUGGCAAGGUCAAUCUUGCGAGGAAGAUCCAAAAAAUAUCAAAUCAACUCCUUUGAAGAAGGUCCAAACUAGAAAGAAUGAAUCACAAACAGUCCGCAGUCUCCUGUGCAUUUCAUUCAAUCUGUUGCAGGACAAAAUAAGUAUCUCCAAUACAGACAACACAUGCCCACAGACCAAAGCCUCGAAUUCCACCAAAAUCCAAUUGCUCAGCAAGCCGUAGAUAACCCUAAUUAAAUCCUAAACGAACACUAAACUCUGGGAAUCUAUAAUUGCACAUAAUCAAAAAGUAGUAAGUCCAAAAUUACAGACAGCUGGAUAUUUUUUGAAAUCGACCAGGAGCCAACCAAAAAUAGCAGCCGAUCUUCAAAAUCAAGAAACAAAAACCUAGAAUUUUAUUCUUCCAGCAUAUUCUUUUUUGCGUUCUCACCAAAAAAAAUAAUAAACCCUAAGGCCUAAACAUGUUUUUCCAAGGUAUAUCCAAACUAGAAUAAAUACUAAAAAAUUUAAUUCCAUGUUUAUAGAUAUUCCCUUUUCACCAAUACCAAAGCCCUCGACUUUCAACUUUCUGGUCCUCGAAAUUCCAGGAAAAAUCCAAUCAUCGAAAGCCCACUUUCAUGAGCAAUCCUUAAAUAACCCUAAUUAAACCCUAAACCUAAGAAUCAGAAAAAUGAAGAUAACCGCGACGCAGCAAUUCCAGAAACAGAGAAAGCUUCCGCAUUAUCGAAAAGUGGGCGAGAAGAAACACUAGAAAUCUAAUGGCAGGUGAGUAAGCGUAGGUAGGAGAAAACGAGCUGAAAUCGAUCAUCAUCAUUAUCUUCUGAAUUGAUUCUAAGGAAACGAGGAGAAAGCAAACCUGAGACUUAGAUAUAAUUGGAUUUCAGCGAUCUUGCUAAAACAACUGCUGGAACUGGUGAAGGAAAGCACAAGGCGGAGCUUGGAUUUGUUACUGAGCGGAAUGAGAUUGAAAUAUUGGAUGGAUUUAGAUGAUAAUUGAUUUUAUCAAUGAGGGCGUUUCAGGGGUAGGCCUUAUGAGUUUAUAUAAACAGGCGGCAGCGGGUAAGAGUAACAAUAACAAACAGAGUCUGUGUUUAAUCGCGGCAUUGCCGUGAUUAACAAUUAACAAUUUUUUUAAAAAAUUAAAUAAAUAAUAAGUACAUCCUUUACUUUUUAUUUAAUGAAAAUAUUACUCAUUAUUUAUCCCUUGUCAAGUUAAUAUUAAAUUCCUAAUUAAAGAAGAAUCUUAAUUAAGGGACUAUCCUUUUUUUAUUAAAUCAAAUAGUGAUAAAUAUUUAUAAAUUUGCUUAUUUAUAUCAAAUUCCUCAUUAAAGUAUAGUAAUGAAUUCAUAUUCAUACUUGAAUUCAUGUUAUAUCACUUUACUGGUAUAAACUUUACUAUGUAAUGUAAACAAAAGAAAAGCAUCAACACUUUUAUUCGAUGCAAUCAAAUGUUUAACUUAAAUAUUUAAUUUAUUAAUUGAUACAUAAUUUUUUCACUUUCAAAAUAAGAUUCGAAUCUCUUUCUUAAUUCUUAAAAAAAAUCAAAAUACUUUUAUAUGAUAAUCAGUUUCUAUAAUUUGUAUUUAAUUGAUAAUUCGUUAUGAAAGUAGUCAACUAUUUAAUUAUUAUAGGUAAAAUACCUUACUAUCUAAAUUUUAAUCGAAAUUUUAAACAGGUAUAUUAGUUUUCGAAAAUGAACAUUCUAUCUCAAAAGUACAAAUAACGUUAACAGAGAUUAUAAAUUGAUUAAAAUGUCAUUUCUUUCUUUAUUAAUUUAAAAAGUUAUUAUUAUAUUUUAAAAAAAUACAAAAAAUUACUAGCUUCCUAAGAAAGGAGCCACAAAUGGUGCUCCCCGAGAUAGCAUAAGAUUUAUGCUUCUUAGAUGGUUUUUUUUAAUUAAUAAAAAAGUUAAUCAAAAAUUAAUAAAGUUAUAUAAUAAUAAUUUUAUAAAUUAAUUAAAAGUAAAAUUAUUUUUUUAUUCUUGCAACGUCAUUAAACUAACGAAAACACUAACGAUUAAAACUAUAUAUCCAGCGAAAUAUAUUUUUUAAAAAUAAAAUAUUUAUUUUGAAAACUAAUAUACCCCCAUAUAAUUUCAAUUAAAACUUAAAAAUAAAGAUAUUUUACUCAAUUAUUAUUUAUUUUUUAAUAGAAUCAACAUUUCAGUGAGCAAAUAAAUCAUGCCAAUUACAGAGGUAUUUUCGGUGCUAAUGAAACAAACAUCCAUAUAAGAUAAGCCUAAAACACUCACGAUUGCACAAUCUUAGGUGUGUGAUUUGGCUGACCUCCCCAUUCACAUUCACAUCCACAUAGUUGUCACCCAGUGGCACCACAGAAGCAAUCUGCAAUCAUCCGAAAUGGCUGUCUAGCAACUUUUAACCUUAAGAACCAAAAGGACUGACCUAUCCAUCUAAAACCGCAGCAAUGCUUUUGUCAUCAUCUGCAAGGUGAUGCCUAAUAACUCUUUUUUGUUCAUCCAACUUGUAAUAGGCUCUAAAUUCAGAGCUAGAAAAGAAGGUCUCCAAGUCUGUGAUUUCAUAUUCUACAGCCUUGGCUUGCAGAUCUAGUUAAAAAUCAAUUAUAUGUUUCUUUUUUACCAAAAAAUGCUAUGUUUAUUGAUCUAUAUUUUGUGAAGUAGUAAUUUUUCACAAUUUUUUUAAAGGAAAAUAUGACUGAUAUUAAAACUUUUCUAGUGUAAAUAUAAAAUAGAGCAUCAAUGCUUUGAUGUAGUUUGUUUUAUGAUCAACUUCUGUUUUUCUUUAAUUCAUGAUCCAUUAUUAAUUAUUAAAUUAAAAUUAGAGUCAUUGGAUCAUGUUCAUGGUCUAAUAUGUAAAUUUUCUCUCCUUUAAGAAAAGAGUUUUAGGUACACAUUGCAUUAAAUCUAUCACUAGGAUUCCUAAUAAGUUGCCGACCAGCUCAAGUUUAAAUGAUUUCAAAGAGUUGUCUGUCUCAGACGAGUACAAGACCGUUUAGGAAAUAUUAGUACACACAAAGUGCAAGUGGCAUUAGCUGACGUGAAUGGAUUGCUUCUCAGCUCAGGCAAGUUAUUUAACUGAUGAUAAUGCUAUCCAAUGCAUGCUGCAGCAGGGGAUUUUGCCUGCGCAAUGGACAGUAAUUCAAGCACAACAAGUUUACAGAAGCAAAACACAACUGUCUAAUAAUACAAGCAUAACCCGCUAAUGCCACAACAAUGUUGGCAGUCCUGUUCUUACACUUCCUACAUUCUUGUCUGGAUUAACAUUCAACAUCUGGUUUACCUAGGACCUGAUAAUAUUGAGGGUAAUGCUAUAGACAUGGUACCCGCUCUGCUGCAUGGAGCUGCAGGUGCUUGCGGAUUGAGAAAAUCGUAAAUUAAAUUGGGUUUAACAUCCAUGAAAUCUUCCAAAACACGUAAUACAUCUGUCAUGCAAGGCCUUCUAGUAUAAUCAACUUGCAAACACCAUGCUGCAAUCCUCAUCAUCUUCACAACCUCUGCUUCGUUUGGCUGCAUGUCUUCGCUCAUCUUAUCAACCAGAUCCAAAAGCUUCCCCUCCUCCGCCUUUUUCCUAAAAAAGCUUAGUAAGCGCAUCUCUUCUUCUGGCUGAGAUCUAUCCACAUUUCUCCAACCACACAAGAUCUCCAAGACCACAAUGCCAAAGCUGUAAACAUCUACUUUCUCCGUGAUGACAGCACUUGACCAUUCAGGAGCCAUGUAACCCGGUGUGCCUCUCAUUGUUGUGAAGGCUUUGUCUUGGUCCCUGGCAAUUACUUUUGACAAUCCAAAAUCCGGAAGUUGUGCAUCAAAAUUUUCAUCUAACAGAAUGCUUUGGGGUUUGAUGUCUAAGUGUAAAAUUUUCUGUGUCCAACCCUCGUGAAGAUACGCCAGUCCUCUGGCUAUAUCAAGGAUGAUUUUCCGCCUCAAAUUCCAACUUAGACGGAGUUCUCUGUCUCUGGGAAAGAUCCAUUUAUCCAGAGAACCAUUGUGCAUGUACUCAUAAACGAGAAGCCAAUGGGAUUUCUCGGCACAAAACCCAAUCAGUGUCACCAAAUUAAUAUGAUGAACGCUUCCUAACGUCUCAACUUCAGCUAAAAGUGACUCUCUGAAGUGACCAGGGCCAUCAAGACGCUUCACUGCUUUUUUAGCACCGUUUGGCAGAGUUCCAUAGAAAACAGAACCAAAACCCCCUUCACCAAGCUUCGCACUGAAAUCCUGUGUCAUGGCCUUCAAGUCUUCAAAAGAGAAUCUAGUGAAUCUCUUCCAAACAGCUUUUGAGUCUUUUUUUUUAAGUUCUGCGCAAGGUAUUCUUAACAGCUUUUAGAUCGAUCUUAUUUCCACGCAAGAAGAAGAUGCCAACUACUAGAAACAGGGUAAAAAGGACUCCAAGGGUUGAUCCUAGUACAGCUGCUUUACGUCUUGAUCCUUUUUCUUGAGCAGAGGACGUGCUGGGCCCAGGUGCCGCAGACGUGCUUCGUGUAUGUUGCACUUUUAUAUAUGAAAAACUGUUAUAAUCAUUAAUAUUCUCCUCAUCUCUUUUGAAUGAAAAGAUUUUAGACAGAAGACAACAAUACCCAUUUGAUGAAUUCCGUUGCUGUCGAUAUAUAGCAACUUUGCAUGAACAAUUCUGCAAACAGGUCUCCUUGCAAUUUUCUCUAUCUGUAUUCUUGAUAUGAGGGAUGAAAUUGAAUUAAUCAUAGUCCUUAAGCUCAAGUAAGCUAUGACUAUGAAGAUCGGGAGGCUCGCAAGAAAGAGGUAUAUUUUCAUGACAUCCAAGAUUCGAACGCUCUUCAGAUGCCUGGCUGAAGUAAAGUACUGAUUCAUUUCCCUCCGCUUUUGGACAAGUGCAACUCCCAGCUGAACAAACGCUCCACACAAUAAGGGGAAACCACAUGCACCAGUGUAUUUAAUCAGAAGGUCAGAUACUGGCUUCCAUUUUGAUUCUCUCAAUUGAUAAGCCCUCAAAUGUCCAUCACUCUCUAGUUGAAUGAACUGUGCCGCAGACGUAGAAGGAAGCAGAAAACGAUCAAAACUUCCAUUUACAUAUUGGACUUUGUUAUUGCCCUGGAUCAUGUGUUUCACCCUCAAGGGUCCAAAAUAGACUCGUUGAGCAUCUGGUUCAAGGAAAGCAGUCAAACUAUCAUUUAUAAGAGCUAGCGAGUAUAAUCCUGCACUUGAAUUCGAUGGCGACACAUUUGCUGUCAGCUUUUGCCCACAAACUAGUGCCUGCCCUGGAACUAAUGUGUCUGUUGGGUGAUCAAAAGACUGCCAGACUGUCUCAUUGUUUCCGUCGAAAAGCACAAGGUUUCCCUCUUCAGAUAACUUCAAUCCUGAAACAAAUUUUCCCGCGGUGUUGGUGUUCCAAACUGGAGUGCCAUCAAGAUCUUGAAGUAUCAAAUCCCCUUUUCAGAGAGUUGAAGUGUAGCUCUAAUUUUAACAGGAUUGUUUCGAUUGGCAGACCACACAAUUUUUGGAGAGAUGCUGGAAUUCCCGUUCAAAGUAUAGAUUUGGAAGAUGGAGACAGCAAAAAGGCACUCGCCUUCUGAACUUUCGCAGUGGAAACCGCAAACAAAAGUUCCACUGAUAAGGAUGGGCGUAACACCUGCGGAAUCCCAGAAGCCAAAGUCAAACACAGGAACGUUAAUCCAGGAAUUUGGAAGAUAAGCAACUGACGGAUAGGCGAUAUCUUGUGCAUUUAUCAAACAUGAUGACGAUGAGACGAGUAGAAUUAUUAAAAAAGGCAGUAGCAGAACCAGUAUUGUUUCCAAUGACCAUUACUUCAGCUCCAGCCUGCCUGAAAGAAUUCUUCUUAACAAAAUUGAAAGGAUCAAAUUACCAAGGCUGGCUUCCAAAUAAGUAAGCGUUGCCAGUUGCUGAAAAACAAGUGUGAAGAUCCAAUCCAGAAACACAAGAAAAGAAAGCUAGAGAACAGAAGGUUUUCGGUACUUGUAUUAACCUAUUAAUUGUGCCCUUAGAAAAGAAAAGGAGCAUGACAAUUCACGCGUUUAUGGUCCAAGUCAAUUGCCUUCGAAUGGCCGUCAACAAAGAUGUAUGGUAUGCUUACAUGGUUGCGCAAGGUACAUUGGAAGUAAAAAGUCCUUAUGUAUCGAAUGAUUGGAAUCGUACGUAAUCAUACCUUUGACAAAAGAGAAAAGUCAGUUAAACAGGAAAAUUAGUAUUUGAAUGAUUGGAAGGAUGAAACCAAACUUAGAAAAUUCUUUAACAAAAAUGUUUGAAAAAUAUUUUAAAAAUUUUUAAAUUUUUAAAUAAAUUUUUAUUUUUUUAUUACAUUCAAUUAUGUUCUUAUAUUUUUAUUUUUAAAUCAAGUAAGCUCUUAUAAUUAGUUAUUGUUAAUUAAUUUUCAAUAGUCAAAACUAUUAUUUAUCAUUUUAUACUCACAUAACACAGACAAUGCGUUAAUAUGGAGAGUGAAAAAUAUCGCAUGAUUAUAUCAUCAUGUCAAAUGUCACGUUAUAUAAUGUUAUUAUUAAUUAUGAUAUGUCGAUAUAUCACGUCAAGAUCACAUAGUGUAAAAUGAUAAAUAGUAUUUUGACUAAGUCAGCAAAAGUUUAUUUGACUUAGUAUAAAAAUAUAAGAGUUUAUUUAGUUCAAAAUUAAAAUAUAUAAGUUUAAUUUAAUGUAAUAAAAGAAUAAGAACUUAUUUAAAUUUUUUAAAAUAAUUUAGGGGCUUUUUUAUGUAUUAUGUCAAAAAUUCAUUUAUUAAAACUUGAAUUCAAACCUAAUAAAAUUUGAAAAAAUCCAUAUCCGAAUAAGUAUUUAUUUAACUUUUUUAAAUAGUUUAGAACUUUUUUCAAGUGUUAUGUCAAAAUUCAUUUACAAAAACUUGAAUUCAAACAUAAUUAAAUUUGAAAAGAUUCGUAUCCAAAAUAAUUUAAAUUCAAUAAAAAUUUCAAAUUCAACAUAAAUUCGAAAUUGAAAUUAAUAUGAUCCAAAAUCAUAAUAACAUGAACCUAACAUUAAAAAUAUAAAAUUUAAGAAAAAAUAACAUGAACCUCUAUUUCCUUAAAUUUUGAUGGUAAUAUAUUCUUGGCCCUCCAUUAAUAAUUUUUUUAUUUAAUGACGUAACAUAAAUUUUUAAAUAAUUUUACCAUGCAACCCAGUCAUAUCAAGUCAAUAACUCAGUAUAAGCGAACAAAGAAAAUAGGUAAACUUUCUGGAUGAACAAAGAGAACAGGGGAGCCAACCAAAAUUGAAAAGAGCAAGAAUUAAUAUAUCAUCAGAAAGACAUUAGGUAAAAAAAAGUCCAAAAAAAUCAAACACUUUGUACUGUGACCAACAUAAAAUUGGAAACAAUAAAAUCUAACAUAAAUGAAUGGUGCAUGAGUAUUGAUUUGAAAUAUUGAUAAUUUGCAAAAGCAAAAGGAUUAGGUGAAGUUGAAGAAGCUUUGACCAGGAACAAGGUAACGUUUAUUAGGAUGAUUCAAAUAACAUAAGUAGAAGAUAUUCCAGUUAACUAAGACAUAAGGAAAUCAUAACAGAAGAAACAAACCAGCACAUGCCAAGUCCUUUGAGUAUACAACAACAUCAUCUUCUUCAUUGGCUACUAAGGUAUCUUAAAAAGAUUUUAGGAGACUACACAAAUCCAACAAUGAAAUGUCUGCAUGCAUAAAUUCGAACAUUAGUUUGAAAUUAUUCCGACAAGGUUUGACAUUUCAAAUACAAGGAAUCUUGAAGAGCUCGUUAGCUUCACAUUACAAAGUCUCCGAAUAAUUCUGGGAGCAUAUUAUAUUAUAUAUUCCAAGCAUAAUGAACGAAAAGUUGUAAGGGACGCAGAAAAAUCUGCCAUGACUGAAGCUUCUGAAAAAGGGUUUUGAUCUCUUAACAUCAUAUACAAAUUCCAUGAACAAACUUUCAUUUUUCUCUGGUCCAUAGGUUAGAAAAAAAUUUACAAGUAUCCUUAGUCUUACCUCAGUGUCUGCCUCUCCUUUGUUGCAAAAGCAGUACGCCCUUCCUGCCAGAAAAAUUAAAGACAUCUACAAUUAUGAGAAAGUAGGCAGUGACUGAAGUGUUACUAGAAUCUAAUAUUGAGAAACAAUUUUUUAAAUUGACAUUAAAAAAAAAUAGAAAUAUAGCUAAAUUAAAUGUAUGGUAUACUGACGUACCAUGUGAAAGAAGAGGGAAAGAAGCUAGUUCCACUGAUAAGCCAAAGUCAAAGACAGGAACGUUAAUUCAAGAAUUUGGAGGAGGAGCAACUGACGGAUUGGCGAUAUCUCCUGCAUUUAUCAAAAAUGAUGGUGAGGAGAUGAGUAGAAUUAUUAGAAGGGCAGCUAGCAGCAGAAGCAGUAUUUCUUCCAAUGGCCAUUGCUUUACCUCCAGCCUCCCUCAAAGAACUCUCUUUAACAACAUUGAAAGGAUCAAAUUACCAAGGCUGGUUUCCAAAUAAUUAAGCAAGUGUUGCUAGUUGCUAAAAAACAAGUGUGAAGAUCCAAGACGCAAACACAAGAACAGAAAGCUAGAGAGAGAACAAAAGGUUUUCAGUGCUUGUAUUAAUUAUGCCCUUAGAAAAGAAAAGCAGGAUGACGAUCCACGCGUUUAAGGUCCAAGUCAAUUUCCUUGCGUGUUUGUGAAAGGUAGAAAGGUCCUUAAGAUAAUAUUACAGUAAAGACGUUAGAUUGUAGAGAGCAGAGUUGAGAAUUACACCAAUCAACACCCCUAUGAUACAAGAUUUUUAAUGUUACAUCUCUCACCAUCAUCGCAUAUAAAAGAAAACACUGGACCUACAACGAGGAAUAAAAAAUACAUAAAAACUAAAUGUGAAAAAUGCUCCAACACUUUUUUAAUAAAACCGCCCCAACUGCCUUGUACCUGCCUCUGCCUGUGGUUCAAUUUGCAGAGGGGUCUUCGUUUCCAAGGGCCCACAUGAGUUUCGAAUGAGAUCCAUUGGAGCAACCCUCCUUCUUUUAUGAACAUUGAAUAACUCACUUGCCCGUGGCCUCAGUAUACAACAACAAGAAAUGUCAUAGCACUCAAUCGAUUCAGCAUUGACAACAACCUACGCAGGCCACAACAAAAUAAUAUUAGAAUUCUAUUACUUGAAUGUUGUUAACAGUUUUCCCAUCAUACACACUCCUAUAUCCACCAUAAAACCAUAGCCCACAACGUUCAAUUACGCAUGGGAUAAUAAUUUUUCUUAAACAAUUAAAAUUCACAAAUUUAACUUUUAUGAAUAACAACAUACUUGGUUUUACUUCCAUAUUAAUCAAUCAAUUAUGUUCAAAAUGGAUAAAGAAACAACAAAUGACACAAUGCAACACCAAUUCUAACAUGCUUGUUCAAUAUUAAAGUAAAAUUUUGUCACCUAAACCAUUUAUGAAAUUAAUAAUUAAUUAUUUGAAAUAAAAAAAUUCAUAACAAUAAUAAUAAUAAUAAACUGACCAUCGCAUUUUUCUUUUGCUUGUCCCCUCCUCCAGCCAUAGACUCAGCUUUUGAUUUAAAGAAAUAUUCAAGUCUAAAUUAGAAUAACUAGAAAUGUAGCAAAUUAUAAAUGUUGUUUUUAAUAAAAAAAGUUUUAUUAAUACUUAAAUGAAAUGCUGGUGAAGUUAGCGUUUGGAUGUUGAAAUGAUCAUUUUUUUUCUUUGAUCGGUUCUUCAUGUCUCACUCUAAAGUGAAGAAAAAGAUUUAAAGAAAUCUUAAAUUAGAUAUCUAAAUUUUAAUUAAUUAAUUUACCCAUAUGAAUAUGAAUCCGUGAAGUGAAUUCUCCAAAUAAAUUUUAAUUAAUUUAUUUACUCAUUUGAAUUUGCGAAGCGAAUUGUUUAAGUAAGCUCUUGUUGCAAACGCUACGGUCCAAAUCACUAUGACACCAUUGUUUCCUUUAUUUUUUUUCCAUGAAGCAGCACAAGUCAUUGUUUCAUUUUUAUUUUUUUUAUUUUUUUCCAUAAAGCAGCACAAGUCAUUGUUUCAUUGAUCUUAUUCAACUUUUUUAUUUUGGCCAUUUUAAAGUUAUUUUUUAUACAUUUUAAUUAAAUUGUGUGUGUACUAAUUGCACCUUUUCAAGAUAACGGCCAACAAUAUUCAAUAUGCAUCUACCUUACAGUCAUCUAAAUUGUGACGUCUCAAAGUUUCAAAGCAAAGGCUGAUAUGAAACUUUCUACUAGUAUUUUAUUUCAUUUAUUCAGCAAAUACUCUGCAUGGUUAUUUGCAACAAAGUUGUGUACAUAUUUGACCAAUUGUGUUAAUUCAUUUAUGAUAGAUAGGUUAACCAUUUGCACUUACAAAAGGAGGAAUUUAUGGCAACCAAUCAGAAUACCACAUAUACCAUACAAAAAAUAGAAAAUAAAAACGAAACAAAACAAUACUAUUCCAUUUGAAUGAAUGAAUGAAAUGGAUAUAUGAUUAGCUAGAGUCAGCAAAAGAGUUCUGCGCAAAAAUAGGAAUAUCCUCUACUGGUUUCUGCAUCCCCUCAUCCAUCUUCUCUAUGCAGCUAAAGUGCAAGAGGUUGCGGAGCAAGAUGUUUACGUAAAUACAUGGCUUAUCAAGAUUCCAAGGGCCCCUCCUCCAGGCUUCUGCAACCACUUCCAAACAGUCAACAACCCAUUUCCAUCCCCUGUGAAGAAAAUGGGGAAAAGGCCCUCUACCAAUCACUCUAACUUCUUGUUUUGAAAAUAACCUGCCUCUCUCAGUGAACCUGGGACACAAAAGAUAAAUUUUCAUUAAUCAGUACCCAAGAGGAACUUGUGGAGAUAACAAAGCUUCUAACCAACCUAACAGAAACAUGGAGACUUAUACUCACAAUGGCAAGUCAUACAGGUGAAAAGUGUUGUCAUUGCAGGAGCAGAGCAAAGCUGGUUUAGUGUCUGCAUCAUUCAUGCCACAAAGAGCUAGCACGCCCUGCAUGCAGAAACAGUUCAUAUUAGCUCAUGCUCAAUGAUAAAUCCAUUAUCACCAUUACCGCAAACAAAAGGUCAACCUUAGAUUAAAAAAACAUAUCAGAGAAAUGCAAGCCAUGCAUUUACAGAUACUAUAAACUGAAUUGAUUAAUGAAAGCAACAUAAAAUUCAAACAUUUUUCCCUAUCAUUUACUAGCAGUAAACCAGAAGCACUUCUUUAAAUAUCAUAAUAGGAUAAAAAUAUGGCCAACCAAUGGGACACCUCCAUCUUGCAAAAUUAUGGUGCUAUCAUAACCAUUCAACAUUUUGAAAUCAAUGAGGAACACUAUCUAUAUUACUAAUUUUUGGUUUCUUGUUGCUGUUUGUAUUUCAUUCCGUAUGCUUUUCUUAGUUCUGGUGGGUAAACUAGAGUCCUCUUCACUGCAAAUUGCUCAUCUCUCAGCCUUAUGGGUCACAACCAACCUCAGAUGUUCAGAGCUUCAGACAAAUGCUAAUCCGAACAAUACAGAACUCAUCAUUUUAACCAAGCUAAGCCUACACAAUGACCAUACAUGCACCCCCACCCACCUCUUCUCUCUUUCCAAGAGAAAAAUAUAAGUUCAAAUUAUUUGCCUGCUAAUAUUGAAGGCUUUCCCAUAACUUGGGAAAUUCAGUUUAUAAUUAAUGCACCUCAAAGGUUCCUUGACUAGCAGUUAAUCAAUUGAAUAGCACUCUGAAUAUAGCAACAUUCAAUCACCCAGAUGAGAAGUGAUUGUUUUCCUUGUUACUAGUUCCUCAAGAACACUGUGACUGUCAGACACAUUUAGUGUGAUGCUGUUGAUCCAUUACUAACCAUGACUGUACAUACAGAUAUAGUAGUCAAGUAAUAAACACACUGACAAUGGUUGUAAAUAUGCAAAUAAAAGCCAAGCAUUAAACACAAUUAGAUUAUAUAUCUAAAUACAUUAAGGAAGUGUGACAAAGGAACAUACAUUUUCUUCCUUAUGAGUAUAGAUCACUCCACAAUUUUCUCCUUCUGUAGCAAACCAAACUUUUAUACUGCAGUCCAGUUAGCAGGAGAACAAACACCCAUUACAAUGAAGAAGAGACAUCACAGCAUCCUCAUGUCCAUUUAACGUCUUAAUGCACUGCAAUGUGUCCAUGUCCCAGACCUGGUCAAGUGUAAAAAAAUAGUACAUAAUAAAACAGCAAUAGCUAAAUAAUUUAAAAAUUGCUCAAAUAGCAUAGCCAAUGGAGCUGUGUGGUGAGUCACUUGGUUCCAAAAGGUUGAUCAUUUAAUUGCUGUCAAAAGGACUCACAGAUUGAUUUCAAUUUACAAACAUACAUAUAGAAAGCCCCAGGUUUUAGCUUAUCAGCUCAACCUUAUAGUGCGAUCAACAGAACCAGAAUAUAACUUAUUUUCUCAGACAGUUAAAAAUAGUACAGCACCAGAGUGGGCCCCAAGGAUGGAACCAGUUGAAAAGGAUUGGCCUCAGAACUGCCUUUCCAUGCAAAAAAAACACCAUUCUACAACCACCCAAAUGAAUAAUUGAGUAACUCAUCUUCAACCAAAGAAAAUCAAAUCUAAGACUGUGGUAAGUAAUGAUUCACGAAAGAUGGAUUAGAAUCAGGCCAUCACCUGUGCCCCAGCAAAAAGCAGGUUAUUAGCAACAACCAUAGAAUAUACUUGUCCAACAGGCCCUUUUAGACUAGACAUCUACUGUCCCAAUAUCCCAUGCCUACACGAACAUCCAGCUGCCUCUAAUUAGUCCAAACUGUCACAAACUAAACUGUACAUAAAAAGGAUUAUAGAUAGAUCCAACCAAAGAUAAGCAUCAGCUAUUAUCCAACCUUAAUAACACCUUUCAUGCCAGUGAACACCCAUGAGCCCUCAGUAAUCAAAGAACCAACUUCAUCACCAAGAUUACUCAAAUGAGCACACUUUCCAAAGUGGCAGUCCCAUGUCCGUACAGUUCCAUCACUACUGCCAGAAUAGAGCUUCUCAGACUCUAGAGGAAGGGCAUUCCACAAACAGCCUGUGAUAUAAAAAAAAAUUAUAUAUUAGAUAAAAUUAUAAAAUUUUUCUUUGUUCUGUAUAUACACCAAAUUACUGACAAUAACCACCUUCUUGUGGCCCUCCAGCUUUGCCAACAUCGUGAAUCCAUCCCCACGAUACCAUGAAUGCAAAUAUCAGCAUUUAUCGCCUCUGGCACAGUAGCCUGACAUCCAGUACUUGCAAACUUUAUUUUCUUGCUCUCGGACCUUUGGAGUAGAAACAUAUGAAUUCUUAGGGCGAUGAUUGGAGUUCUUUCUUGAGAGAUCUUCUGAUAUAGCAUGGUAUGGCUUGGCAUUUCUAGGGUAAACAUCAAUAUUCGCAGCUUCUCCUUUACGUCGAACAGGAAGUCUUUCUACACUGUCAUCAUCAUAUCUUCUGGCUGCUCGUCUAAUUCCCAUGCUAUAGACAAAAGAUGCAUACAAAUCAAUUACAGUUUCUUCAGAACAUGAUCCAAAUACCAAUUCGGUUCCUUCAAAUUAUAUCCAAACUUAGAACCGAUUUUAAAUCAGGUAAAUCCACAAGCUUUGACAAGUUAAAUCUUUAGAAGAAGAUCCAAAACAUAUCAAAUCAACUCCUUUGAAGAAGGUCCAAACU
rnacentral:lncRNA from 1 species